GAAUGUAACAAAUGAACGCAGAUCAGAUGAUUGAAGAACAACUGGCGUUUUUGUUUACCUGUAUCAAGAGACCAAAGUGUUUUUAUUUAAUAAAUGAAAUAUUCGGCAAAGCAAAGCCCACCCAAACAUGUCACUUUGGCAUAGAGUGCCAGCCGGCAACGAAGCACUUUGUAUGUAUGCUACCAAGGUUAUAGUGAUAACUAUUAAAUUUAUAGAAAACUAGCUGAACCGGGUCCGCUCCACUGCCCCUUCUUUUACUUUAUUUGGAACAAAAUUAUCCUUAAAAUAUUUAUUUUUGACAAUUAAAGAGCUUUUAGUGAAAUACCAUGCUUCGAAAA